rnacentral:lncRNA from 1 species
CGCUGAUUCCCGCUGAUCAGUCUUUCUCGGAAAGCCCCUCAGAUUGCUCGUUUGUCUCGGCUCCCUGGACCUGGUCGAGGCUUCAAUCCCGUCCGCCAGGCUUGUUGUCGCUGGCCAAAGUGCUCCUUCUUAUAAUUCACGUUACUGCUCUGCCACCCCAACCAGACUUUCUUGCAAAACUUGGUAUUUCAAUUAGUCUGCAGAUAUUUCUUGAAUACCAAAUAUGUGGAAGUAGCUUUCUUAGUGUGAGAAAAGCAAGAUUUGACUCCCAAGACUCAUCAUCUACGUGGAAAGAUAAAACAAAGACACAAAUAGCUAUAGUAUAAGACGCCUUCUACCCUCCCUCCUGCAUACUGACUUCAUCUUGUAACAGGCUUUGUGAUAAAAACCUGGGAGAAUAUUGGUUCUGGAAUUCCUUGUGGACAAAUCUGGGGAGACCAUUGGUCCUGGCUCCACUCCUGGAAGGGUCUUUCAGAUUUUCAGAAGAAAACUCCUGUCAGACAAACGAAUCUUUCCUCUCUGCAGUCUCUGGACUGGGCCUUUUCCAAGAGGACACAGAAGAGGAGAGAAUGGCAGCUGUGACCCUAGCAGCCAGAUGGCAGAAGGCUAGACUUAAGAGCCAGGACUCAACUGAAAAGCAGGAUGUUUCUAAAAAAGUAAAGUCAUUACUGAAAAUACAA